rnacentral:lncRNA from 1 species
AGGAAGAUCUGGGUUUGAAUUAUAGUUUGGCUGCUUCCUAGCUGUUUGAUCUUGGACAAAACUUUCAUUCAUUCUAUAUUUUUUGGAGUGUCUACUCCAUGCCAAUCAUGUGUGAAAUGUUGGGAUAACAAAGGCGAAUUCAAUCUGGCUCUCGUCCUCGGAGCUUAAGCAAAUCAUCUGGGGUAGCGUGACCCAUGCUACGAUGGAGGUGGAAUACGGGGCUGCAGGGCGGGGCCACAGGACAUAGUGGGCAGCUUAACCUCCUUGAGCCUCCCUAUCCCUAAUUCACGUGAUGGGGUUUGUAACCACUUCUCACAUCGUUGAGAGAAAAGGGUGAGCCUGACUCAGAGGUGUGGCAAAGGAAGGGCAGGGCAGGCUUUAAGGACAGGGACAGGGCUGUCAGAGGCUGAGGCUAGGGAGGGGCAGGAAGGGGUGUGAGGCAGGGCGGAAGAGAGCAGGGCCCUGGGCAGGUGCUGAGCCAGGUCCUGCAGGUCACCCAGUCGCUUGAGUCCACGAAUGCUGGAGGCAGGCACUGGAGAGCCAGGGUGGUUCAGCCGCAGCUCCUCUGAGCAGGGAGUCAAACAGGGCUGAAACAGACACCAGCUCUCCAGGACCAGCUGGUAAGAGCUUCUCCACUGCCCCCGAGCCCUGACAGGAGGACUCCCACAGUGUGCAUGGAAGCCCAGGGAGCUCGGGGGCUACAGAGGCACCAUUGGCUCUGGAGCCUGCAGCCCAGACAGCCCCCUCCAGAUGUAAUGGGGGAAGGAGCCAGGGACUGGGAGGAAUUCAGAGGUCAGAGGAGGAGCAGUAUCAGGAGAUACUGCCCUCCUGCAACUCCUCCUCCCAGCUGCUCUCCCCUCCUGCUAGUGCCCACAAUGGCUCCCAGCUGCCUCCUAUAAGGAAGCUUUAUUAGCCUGCAGCCUGUACUCCUCCACGCAGCAGAGCUGACAGGACCCCAUUAGUCAGCUUAUUCAACCCUUCCCCUGGUGCACAAACCCUUGCCAAGCUUUUCUGGCAUUUUGCUCAGCCUGCUUGGACCCUCCAAGCAGGUAGGAACUCACUGUUUCACAAAGCAGUGUUAUUAGAAAGGUUUCCCUGACCCUAGCCCCCCACAUCUAAUCUUUCUCAAAUGUGGGCAGACUUGUUCCUGGCCCCUUCUCAUUCCACCAGUGCACACAUGCACAUGCUCCCUCUCUCCAUCCAAGCUCCAGGAAUCAACCUCUACCCUGAACCAGGUCCCUGAGGACCACCACGUGGCUGCAACACAGCAGGUGUGGGGCAGGGCACAAGUGGGCUUAAGGGGGGUAUAAGGGCUGGCAGUUUGCUCAUUGAUUCACUCAACAAACAUGUACUGAGCACCUCUAAAGGGCCAGGGCCUGUGCUAGGCACUGCGGUGCCAUGGUGAGCAAAUCCAGAAAUGGACCCUGCCCUCUAGGAGUUCACAGUCCAGAGGAGAAGCCCGAUGCUGAACAGAGAAUCACAUCCGUGAGCAACACAAAAGGCAAGGCAAACCCUGGGCAGAUGCCCCCGGGACUGUGUGUUAUGGGCCUACAGGAAGCCUCUCCCAAUGAAAAAGCAAUUUUUCAGCCAGAACCUCCACCAGUGUCUUUCAAACUGUGAGUGGCAACCCAUUUGUGGGUCAUAAAAUCAAUUUAGUAGUUGUGACCUGAAUUACUUGUUAGUGAAAUAGAGAGGAAUUUACAACAUCACACUUAGGAAAUACUGUUUUGUGAAAUGUUAGUUUCAGUUAUCUAUCUAUCUAUCUGUCUGUCUGAGAGAUCAUGUUUAUUAGUUAAGAUAUUAAAUGUAUUUCUUACUGCAGGUCUCAAUCAAAAACCUCUGAAAGCCACUGGCCUAGAGUUAGAGGAAGAGUUAGCCAUGAGAAAUGGUGGUGACACAGGUUCCAAAAGAAGAAACAAUAGGAGCCUGGACCUGUGGCCUUCCCUGCCUCCACCUGGGCCUCAACCGUCACGACCACCUGGCCUUUGAGAAAUCAAAUGGCUCACGCUGUGUCUCAGAGCUGCAACGAUCCAACGCCCUCCAUCCUUCAGAGGCUGUCUGAGUCCGGGGACACAACUCCCACCCUCCUCUCCUGCCAGCCGCGGCCCGUGGCUGCUCUCUUCACUUCGUCCCGCUUCGCCCCGACUGUGGAUCUACCCGCUCCCUUCUCCCUCAGUCCCCAAAGCACCAGACUCACAGGCCUGCUGUGUGACCCACUUUUACCGACCUUUCGGGGAGAGUAGAGGGCAUUUGUGACUCAGCUCAGAGCAGGAAACACAUCUCACGUCAACUGUCAGACAGCGCUGCUCCGAAUCCCAUCACAGUGCUCCAGCAGGGGGCGUCCUCACCGGCCGCGGCCACAGCCACGGCUCAACCCGGCCUAGCUCCCAGACACCCUCCUUCCACCGCCUGUUUUCCACCGUCCCCGCCUGCUCUUUCAAGCCAGCAGCAAACAACACCCUAAUCCGUGUCUUUAUUAUUCAAAGACCUUAAGCACUCUUUCCCACCUCGUUCCCAUCUUGAUUAUUUCAGGGAAUGAAUUAGGGAUUCACCUUUACAAUCAAAAAAGUUCUCUCAAAGCCAGGCUACUGGAGUUCUAAUUCUGCCUUCCCACUUUUACUAGCUGUGAAAUCUCAGGAAAGUUACUUAACCUCUCUCUGUCUCAUUUUCCUCAUCUUUAAAAAACAGGAUGAUAAUAUUUAGCUCCUAAGAUGGUUGUGAGGAUUUAAGUGAGCUGAUAUAUCCAAGAAUGUCUAGAACAGCGCGUGGCAGAAUGGGCAUUGCAUAUGGGUUUAAUCUUGUAACUGCCAUGUUUCACCAAUUCUAAGGUGUAUCUCGUUUCUCAUCAUAAGAGCUCUUCCGCUCGUGUGGCAGCUGGGAGUGGCCGUCAUUGCCUGCGCAUACCUAAACUUGGUCAGCAGCCAAGUGUUUUGUGAGACCUAAGAAAGGAAGAGCCCCAUAAGUAAAUGGAACUGUUGUGUUGUUUUAUUACCGAGAAAAGGGCAGAAUGAUUGCUAGUCACACGUGAAGCAAGAAAACCCCGGCAAUAAAGCUUGCAGAAUGAGUGGCUGAGGCUUGAAAAUAAAUGGUGGAAACAAUAGUGGACAAUCUUUUAAAGAAUGGCACAUUGCCAAUGCUCCUGAUGGCACAGAAGGUGACACCAUGCAGAAAAUCAAGGCUCUGAGUCAAAGAGGGUUUCAGAAAAAUUGGACUCUGAAUGUGAAGAAAUCUGGGGACUAUUUUAGCCAAUUUGUUUUGCCUAUAAUUUCCUUUUAUGCAUGCAAAAGAGCAAUUCUGAC